GUGAGGAAUAUUGGACAAUGGGCGAAAGCCUGAUCCAGCCAUGCCGCGUGCAGGAAGACGGCCCUCUGGGUUGUAAACUGCUUUUAUACGGGAAUAAACCCCUCGACGUGUCGAGGGCUGAAGGUACCGUACGAAUAAGCACCGGCUAACUCCGUGCCAGCAGCCGCGGUAAUACGGAGGGUGCAAGCGUUAUCCGGAUUUAUUGGGUUUAAAGGGUCCGUAGGCGGAAAAUUAAGUCAGUGGUGAAAUCCUGCAGCUCAACUGUAGAAUUGCCAUUGAAACUGAUUUUCUUGAAUAUGUACGAAGUGGGCGGAAUAUGACAUGUAGCGGUGAAAUGCUUAGAUAUGUCAUAGAACACCGAUUGCGAAGGCAGCUCACUAGUCCAUUAUUGACGCUGAGGGACGAAAGCGUGGGGAGCGAACAGGAUUAGAAACCCUAGUAGUCC
rnacentral:rRNA from 1 species